rnacentral:rRNA from 1 species
ACCCGCUGAACUUAAGCAUAUCAAUAAGCGGAGGAAAAGAAACCAACAGGGAUUGCCCUAGUAACGGCGAGUGAAGCGGCAAUAGCUCAAAUUUGAAAUCUGGCCCUUUCAGGGUCCGAGUUGUAAUUUGUAGAGGAUGUUUCGGUAUAGGCCCCGGGUUAGGUUCCUUGGAACAGGACGUCAUAGAGGGUGAGAACCCCGUCUUUGCCUGGGAUCCCUUUACCAUGUGAAACUCCUUCGACGAGUCGAGUUGUUUGGGAAUGCAGCUCUAAGUGGGAGGUAAAUUUCUUCUAAAGCUAAAUAACGGCCAGAGACCGAUAGCGCACAAGUAGAGUGAUCGAAAGAUGAAAAGCACUUUGGAAAGAGAGUUAAAAAGCACGUGAAAUUGUUGAAAGGGAAGCUCUUGCUACCAGACUUGCCCGCUGUUGCUCAACCUUUUAGGUGUACUCUUCAGCGGGCAGGCCAGCGUCAGUUUGGGCGGCCGGAUAAAGACCCUAGGAAUGUAGCUCCCCCGGGAGUGUUAUAGCCUAGGGUGUAAUGCGGCCAGCCCGGACUGAGGACCGCGUCUUACUAGGAUGCUGGCGUAAUGGUCGC